UUACUGUUUUUCGGGGGGGGGGGGAUACGCGUGAGAAUCUGCCUUCAGGUCGGGGAUAACGACUGGAAACGGUCGCUAAUACCGGAUGUGCCGAGAGGUAAAAGCUUAAUGUGCCUGAAGAUGAGCUCGCGUCCGAUUAGCUAGUUGGUGUGGUAAGAGCGCACCAAGGCGGUGAUCGGUAGCUGGUUUGAGAGGAUGAUCAGCCACACUGGGACUGAGACACGGCCCAGACUCCUACGGGAGGCAGCAGUGGGGAAUUUUCCGCAAUGGGCGCAAGCCUGACGGAGCAAUACCGCGUGCGGGAGGAAGGCUUUUGGGUCGUAAACCGCUUUUAUUGGGGAAGAAGAUCUGACGGUACCCAAUGAAUCAGCAUCGGCUAACUCCGUGCCAGCAGCCGCGGUAAUACGGAGGAUGCAAGCGUUAUCCGGAAUUAUUGGGCGUAAAGCGUCCGCAGGUGGCUGGUCAAGUCUGCUGUUAAAGCGUAGAGCUUAACUCUAUAUCGGCAGUGGAAACUGGACAGCUAGAGUACGGUAGGGGUAGCGGGAAUUCCCAGUGUAGCGGUGAAAUGCGUAGAUAUUGGGAAAGGAACACCAGCGGCGGAAAGCGCGCUACUGGGCCUGU
rnacentral:rRNA from 1 species